rnacentral:rRNA from 1 species
AGCAGCCGCGGUAAUUCCAGCUCCAAUAGCGUAUAUUAAAGUUGUUGCAGUUAAAAAGCUCGUAGUUGAAUUUCGGGGUUAGUAGGUUGGUCAUGCCUCUGGUAUGUACUGGUCUCACUGAUUCCUCCUUCCUGAUGAGCCGUAAUGCCGUUAAUUUGGUGUUGCGGGGAAUUUGGACUGUUACUUUGAAAAAAAUUAGAGUGUUUAAAGCAAGCUAACGCUUGAAUACAUUAGCAUGGAAUAAUGAAAAUAGGACGUUCGAUCCUAUUUUGUUGGUUUCUAGGAUUGACGUAAUGAUUAAUAGGGAUAGUUGGGGGCAUUAGUAUUCAAUUGUCAGAGGUGAAAUUCUUGGAUUUAUUGAAGACUAACUACUGCGAAAGCAUUUGCCAAGGAUGUUUUCAUUAAUCAAGAACGAAAGUUAGGGAUCGAAGACGAUCAGAUACCGUCGUAGUCUUAACCAUAAACUAUGCCGACUAGGGAUCGGAUGAUAGUUUAAUUUUUUAAUGUACUUCUAUUCGGC